AUUGAACGCUGGCGGCAGGCUUAACACAUGUAAGUCGAGCGGAGAGAGGUAGCUUGCUACUGAUCUUAGCGGCGGACGGGUGAGUAAUGCUUAGGAAUCUGCCUAUUAGUGGGGGACAACAUUUCGAAAGGAAUGCUAAUACCGCAUACGUCCUACGGGAGAAAGCAGGGGAUCUUCGGACCUUGCGCUAAUAGAUGAGCCUAAGUCGGAUUAGCUAGUUGGUGGGGUAAAGGCCUACCAAGGCGACGAUCUGUAGCGGGCCUGAGAGGAUGAUCCGCCACACUGGGACUGAGACACGGCCCAGACUCCUACGGGAGGCAGCAGUGGGGAAUAUUGGACAAUGGGCGGAAGCCUGAUCCAGCCAUGCCGCGUGUGUGAAGAAGGCCUUAUGGUUGUAAAGCACUUUAAGCGAGGAGGAGGCUACUUUAGUUAAUACCUAGAGAUAGUGGACGUUACUCGCAGAAUAAGCACCGGCUAACUCUGUGCCAGCAGCCGCAGUAACAC
rnacentral:rRNA from 1 species